GGCGGCGGCGGCGGCGGCGGCGGGGUCGGGCCGCGCUCGGGGCCGCGCUCGGGGCCGCGCCAGGCCACGGCCAGCGCGCCGCAGCCCCGGCGGCCGAGGGGAGCCCCGGCGGCCUCGCGGUCGGAGCCCGGGCGCGCCGUGCGGAGCGGAGCGGGGCGGCCGGCGGCUGAGGAGCCGUCGCGGUCGGGGCUCCACUCUGCAAGUAGGAGGAGAGCGGCCUGAUAAGCGCACUCGCGUCCUGACUCUGAGUGCCCUGGUCAAGAGAAGAGAUGGGUCAGUGAGCUUUGGGACUAGGAAUGUCAGUUCCGUCCUUUGUUUCCUCUUAUAUUUGCCCGUUUCUGUUGCCGUGAAAGGUGCCUCCACAGCUGCAUUUCCUACAACAGUGGGUUGUCUAAGAGCAGUUCCUGGGAAAUGUCUUUUAAUGACUGUCUUUUCUUUGGGGCAGAGACUAUCCUCUGCCUGCCCAGGGUUUCCUGGAGGAGAAAGGGAGAAGGCAGGCUGGGACCGCUUCGAUAGGAGACGAGAAUUAGCUGUCCGUGCCCUCAUGGCCCUUCCGGUGGGCAGGUCCGCUCCCAAAGCACGGCCACCCCUCGGGCUGGGCAGGACCUGCUGAGCUGGGUGUGGAGACCCUGCCGGACGGGGAGGCAGGGGACGCGCGGGGGCUUUGAGAGGAGUGCCUCUGUCUGUGAGUCAUGCCCUGUUCCAUGGCCAAGGCUUCCGAGACCGAGCAGACUCAGCUACGUCUCCAACAAAAUUGGAAGCUCUGGCUGGAAGGGAAAAAAGGAGGCCUUUCUGCAGGGGGCAGUGG